GCUCAACCAACUGAGCCACCCAGGUGCACCUUAAUUACCCUCUUUCAAGUGGGUAGCAUCUAGCUUCCCUUAAAACUUCAACCUCUAGGAAUAUUCUUGCUGGCACCUGCAGGGGACAUCCCAUUGGUUCAGCAGCUGGCUGUUGCAAGGACUUGUUGAAUGCCAAGUCUAUGUCACACAACAGACACAGAGAUGAGAUACAUAUUCCCUGCCUUGGCCAUGCAAAGAAGAUGGGUAAAUAAGCCAGCGAGUUACAGCACAGACAGAGGUUUUAUCAUGAAGACUUCCUGAAAGAACUGAUACUUGAGCUGAAACUCAUGAGAGCAGCAGCAGCAUCACCCACUACCACCACGGCAGCAAUCAGCAAGAAUUUAUGGAGCACAUAUUACUGAUCAUACUUUGUCCAAUCUUGUAACAAAUUUACACCCCUCUGUUUUAUUCCUGCAUUUCUAUGAGUAGUCUCUUUUUGGUUUAAUCUUGUGUUUUUAAUGGCAUUGUGUUUUCUUGGUGUGUAAUUUUUUUUUUAA